rnacentral:miRNA from 1 species
ACAUCACAUAUCUUCAUAUAUAUAUGUAUACACACACGGUAUAUACACACAUAUGUGAGUGCAUACGUUGUACAUGUGAUAUUUAUAUUUAU